rnacentral:rRNA from 1 species
CCUACGGGAGGCAGCAGUGGGGAAUAUUGGACAAUGGGGGCAACCCUGAUCCAGCCAUGCCGCGUGUGUGAAGAAGGCCCUCGGGUUGUAAAGCACUUUCAGUGAGGAAGAACGCCUGGUGGUUAAUACCCAUCAGGAAAGACAUCACUCACAGAAGAAGCACCGGCUAACUCCGUGCCAGCAGCCGCGGUAAUACGGAGGGUGCGAGCGUUAAUCGGAAUUACUGGGCGUAAAGCGCGCGUAGGUGGCUUGAUAAGUCGGUUGUGAAAGCCCCGGGCUCAACCUGGGAACGGCAUCCGGAACUGUCAAGCUAGAGUGCAGGAGAGGAAGGUAGAAUUCCCGGUGUAGCGGUGAAAUGCGUAGAGAUCGGGAGGAAUACCAGUGGCGAAGGCGGCCUUCUGGACUGACACUGACACUGAGGUGCGAAAGCGUGGGUAGCAAACAGGAUUAGAUACCCCGGUAGUC